GACGAACGCUGGCGGCGUGCCUAAUACAUGCAAGUCGAGCGCAGGAAGCCGUCUGAACCCUUCGGGGGGACGACGGUGGAAUGAGCGGCGGACGGGUGAGUAACACGUAAAGAACCUGCCCAUAGGUCUGGGAUAACCACGAGAAAUCGGGGCUAAUACCGGAUGUGCCAUCGGACCGCAUGGUCCGAUGAUGAAAGGCGCUCCGGCGUCGCCCAUGGAUGGCUUUGCGGUGCAUUAGCUAGUUGGUGAGGUAACGGCCCACCAAGGCGACGAUGCAUAGCCGACCUGAGAGGGUGAUCGGCCACACUGGGACUGAGACACGGCCCAAACUCCUACGGGAGGCAGCAGUAGGGAAUCUUCCACAAUGGACGAAAGUCUGAUGGAGCAACGCCGCGUGAACGAUGAAGGCUUUCGGGUCGUAAAGUUCUGUUGUAAGGGAAGAACAAGUGCCGCAGGCAAUGGCGGCACCUUGACGGUACCUUGCGAGAAAGCCACGGCUAACUACGUCCCAGCAGCCGCCGUAA
rnacentral:rRNA from 1 species